UACGAGUGGUGCAAGCGUUAUUCGGAUUUAUUGGGCGUAAAGGGUGCGCAGACGGUUUGUUAAGUCACCUGUUACAUUCUCUGGCCUAACCAGAGGCAUGCGGGUGAAACUGAUGAACUAGAGGGUGGAAGAGAGAAGUGGAAUUCUCGGAGUAGCGGUAAAAUGCGUAGAUCUCGAGAGGAACACCAAUGGCGAAGGCAGCUUCUUGGUCCAUUUCUGACGUUCAUGCACGAAAGCGUGGGGAGCAAACAGG
rnacentral:rRNA from 1 species